CCUGCCUGCACUUCGGCAGCGUUGUCCCUCUUGUCACCCCCUUGGUGGGGCCCCUUUCCUUUACUAUGGUAAUAGUGACAUUCAGCGGGAAAGGCUAGAAGCCAACAUCAAAAAGCCCAGGCACAGAACUGGUUAUUUAUUCCAUUUGUGUGUUUGUUUUUUACACCAUCUAGGCUACAGCCCGGCAAAUCUAUACAGCACCUUCAAAAUGCUAGACCAGGAAGAUGCAAGUAAGCAGCUUGGAUGACACUUGAAAGAAUGGCAAAGGCUUUGCCGUGAGGAAGAAUUUCCCUGCUGAGCUCCUAUUGCCAAAGGAUAUUUACCUGGCGCCCUGACAAGAUCUGUUAGAAAGACCCCUUUCUCCCUGCUUGUAUAUGGCAAAGUUUCUUGCAGAGCUCCUGGGCUGCACAUUGCCGGACAAGGGCACCUCUCCCAUGUUUGAGUCCAGAAGUCAGUCCCGUAUUGGCCUGAAGCAAAGUACCAAGCAGAAGACCACAACUUUCAGCACCUUGGCCAAUGAGAAGACCUUAUCUGACCGCAAACGGGUAAGU